rnacentral:rRNA from 1 species
UACAGAGGUCCCAAGCGUUGUUCGGAUUCACUGGGCGUAAAGGGUGCGUAGGUGGUGAGGUAAGUCGGAUGUGAAAUCUCUGAGCUUAACUCAGAAAUGGCAUUGGAAACUACCUUGCUAGAGGAUUGGAGGGGGGACUGGAAUUCUCGGUGUAGCAGUGAAAUGCGUAGAUAUCGAGAGGAACACCAGUGGCGAAGGCGAGUCCCUGGACAAUUCCUGACGCUGAGGCACGAAAGCUAGGGGAGCAAACAGG